UAAGAAUGUUUAGUUGAGCAGAGGCUACAAUGAGGGUAUGUGCGCGUGUAGGAUAGUGACUGUCUGUUCCCAUUGUUGUUAUGUUGUCGAAAUACAAGGAGUUUGUGUGUCUGCUGCUUGUACUUCUUCAUUCUCAAGUUGAUUCUAGUUCCAGAGCAUCAUUUCUUCAAUCUUCAUUUUCAUCUCCUCGACAUUCAUCAGAUUCUUAUCUCUCUUCACACCCUUCUUUCCCCCUUUCAUCCCAACAGCAAUAUUCAUUGCCUGAAACCUCUCCUCUGGAAUCCGUGAAACUAAACAGAUUUCGCCGAUUUGUGAAAAUAUCGUUCAAUGAUAAACCGCCAAAAUACUCUGGAUAUCCGUAUUUCUUCGGACGAUAUUUCUCCCCUGAACCCAGGAAUAGACGACCCAAGGACGGUUAUGACGGACGGAAACCCAACAAUUCCAAAUCUAUUUUCUCUCUUCUUUUUGGACGAUAGGUUUAACAGUGACAAAGGAGUUCUAAACAAUGCAAAAGAAUUCAUCAAAAAAUGACUUUAUGGGUGGGGGGCUACCCCCCCCCCCCAGGAUAAGGAAAAACUACAAAUAUCUGUGAGAUGCCAUAUUCCUGUAUUGACGUUCUUUGACUGAACUUUUUUAAUCUUUAUCGUUACCACAAAAAACUCAGUACAAGCAAAUUCUAAUUUUUUUUAAAAAGUUUGGUUACAACAGUACAGUAUAUAAGUACAGAAAACUAAUUCUAUGAUUAAUUUUUUUAUGCUGAAUUCUAAUUUCCCCGGAGCGUUUUUAGGGUUUCACUACGAACUGUGGAAUUCAGUAAACUUUAAUCAGUAGAAUGCAGGGAGUUUCAGAAAACAUGAUUUUCGCGGAACAUAACCCCCCCCCCCCGGAAAA